GUCUAUGGCCAUGCCACCCUGAACGUACCAGAUCUCAUCUGAUCUCGGAACCUAAGCAGGGUCAAGCCUGGUUAGUACUUGGACGGGAGACCACCUAGGAAGACCAGGUGCUGUAGGGG
rnacentral:rRNA from 1 species